CCAAAAGUGAACAAGGAGGAAGCAUAUUCCAUAUGAAGGUCGAGAUGACCUAACUCACACCCCCUCUUUGUGUACACCUAUUUGUGUACCACACAGAUAUAAUAUUAAUAGGCUUUUGAAGAUUUAUUGUGCAUGUAUAGCACGGUUGUCUAGGGGUGUAUACAUAAACAGUGAAGCAGAGUCUUCAUAUAGGGUUUGCAAUACUGACAGUCUGGGUCAUAGGUGUAAUGCAGACAUGCGGUUAGGAACUUUUCCAUUGUCAGAAUACAUUGAAAAAACACUAAUAUAUUGCAAAUAUUAAAGUCAUAUUGCAGCUGUUUCCUAUAC